AUGGAACGCUGGCGGCAUGCUUUACACAUGCAAGUCGAACGGCAGCGCGGGCUUCGGCCUGGCGGCGAGUGGCGAACGGGUGAGUAAUACAUCGGAACGUGCCCAGUAGUGGGGGAUAGCUCGGCGAAAGCCGGAUUAAUACCGCAUACGACCUGAGGGUGAAAGCGGGGGAUCUUCGGACCUCGCGCUAUUGGAGCGGCCGAUGGCAGAUUAGCUAGUUGGUGGGGUAAAGGCCUACCAAGGCGACGAUCUGUAGCUGGUCUGAGAGGACGACCAGCCACACUGGGACUGAGACACGGCCCAGACUCCUACGGGAGGCAGCAGUGGGGAAUUUUGGACAAUGGGCGAAAGCCUGAUCCAGCAAUGCCGCGUGUGUGAUGAAGGCCUUCGGGUUGUAAAGCACUUUUGGCGGGAACGAAAAGGACUGUGCCAAUACCACGGUUCGAUGACGGUACCCGCAGAAUAAGCACCGGCUAACUACGUG
rnacentral:rRNA from 1 species